GGUAGAGUGGCCGAGCGGUCUAAGGCGCUGGUCUCUUCGGGGGCGUGGGUUCGAAUCCCACCGCUGCCA
rnacentral:tRNA from 1 species